AUAAUACUCCCUCUGUCCAGAAUUACUUGUCAUCAAAAUGGGUGUGUCUACAACUAAAAUACAUCUAGAUACAUCCAUUUCAAUGACAAGUAUUUUCGGACGGAGGGAGCAGUAG
rfam:Triticum aestivum genome assembly, contig: Triticum_aestivum_CS42_TGACv1_scaffold_129580_2BL